UACGGGGGGGGCGAGCGUUGUUCGGAAUUACUGGGCGUAAAGGGUUUGUAGGUGGCCUGCUAAGUCAGACGUGAAAUCCCUCAGCUUAACUGGGGAACUGCGUCUGAUACUGGCGGGCUUGAGGACAGGAGAGGAACGCGGAAUUCCAGGUGUAGCGGUGAAAUGCGUAGAUAUCUGGAGGAACACCGGUGGCGAAGGCGGCGCUCUGGACCGAGACUGACGCUGAGGCGCGAAAGCGUGGGGAGCAAACAGG
rnacentral:rRNA from 1 species